rnacentral:rRNA from 1 species
AGGAAAAGAAACCAACAGGGAUUGCCUCAGUAGCGGCGAGUGAAGCGGCAAAAGCUCAAAUUUGAAAUCUGGCGUCUUUGGCGUCCGAGUUGUAAUUUGAAGAAGGUAUCUUUGGGCCCGGCUCUUGUCUAUGUUCCUUGGAACAGGACGUCACAGAGGGUGAGAAUCCCGUGCGAUGAGAUGACCCGGGUCUGUGUAAAGUUCCUUCGACGAGUCGAGUUGUUUGGGAAUGCAGCUCUAAGUGGGUGGUAAAUUCCAUCUAAAGCUAAAUAUUGGCGAGAGACCGAUAGCGAACAAGUACAGUGAUGGAAAGAUGAAAAGAACUUUGAAAAGAGAGUGAAAAAGUACGUGAAAUUGUUGAAAGGGAAGGGCUUGAGAUCAGACUUGGUAUUUUGCAUGUUGCUCUCUCGGGGGCGGCCGCUGCGGUUUACCGGGCCAGCAUCGGUUUGGAGCGGCAGGAUAAUGGCGGAGGAAUGUGGCACGGCUUCUGCUGUGUGUUAUAGCCUCUGACGAU